ensembl:lncRNA
UAUUUGUUUGAUAUUAUGAAUGUUCGGAUGUUUGAUUUUGGCACGGAGUACCCGCCAUAGUGUGUGAGCCCAUGCACAAUUUACCUGCACUUCAUUCACUGCUCUCACUGGACGUGACAUCUCCGUCUGACUUAUAACGUGACGUCUGCGUCUGACUUUUUUUUUUUUUGAUUGCAGUUUUUACAUAGUCUUUUUCCCGGCCAACUCAAUAUACAUUAAUUGUGGGCAUAUUNAAAUAACAAAAGCAAUCCUUUAGCGAAGUUUGUGUUGCUUAUAGGUCGACUUAUGUCAUUUUUCAGGGGUGACUAAGGGGUAAAAUACUAACUUUUAAAAGUAUUCAUAAUGGUUCUGUAGGAAUUUCUGACAUCAAUAUUCCUUCUGUUUUACUUUAGCUUUGGAGAAUAGGUUGUAUGCAUCAGUGGGGAAGAUGAUUGCUGUGUGUGUCGUCCAUGGAGAAGUUGGCCCACAUUUCUUCUCCGAAAGGCUUUCUCAGCAGAUCUGUGGUAUGCCAACAUCCUCUGCCUCAGUGGAUGAGGUUGGAGAUCAUACAUUGAGGAAGCAACUAAUCAAGAUACAGGAAGCAACAGCUGUUCAGGAGGCAUAUUGUGCCAUUACAGAAGCAGCAGACAGCUUAAAUAUCAUUGGUGCCUUGAAAUAUAUAUCACACCUGACAGAAAGGAACUCUCUUGUCCAGUCAGCGGCAGAGUUCUUUGUAAAUGGAAGACUGCGAGCUGCCUUGGACCAGUCGGUGUUUAUUGGCUGCUUCGACUGCCAAUCAUUUCUGAUGUCAUGAUGUCCUGCCCAUUUGCUGAUGCGCCAGCUGUAUUUAAGGGCUUGAUUUGACCGUGUGUGGCGUGCGCCAGGUCAGCGUACCUCGUGCUCCAACGCGGCCAGUUGUUUCGGGCUAUUGCCAUUUGUUUCUCCGGUUAACUCACUUUGUGCAGUCUUGCUUUGUGACGUGAGCUUUGAUCUAUAUAUAGAUUUGUAGAUAACAACGUCCGUGUUGGAAUUUUUGCCAUCGUGCCGUCAAAUUAAAGUUAAUCCAUCUAACUAAGUAACAUAGCCAUGAGCUUUUUGUUUUUGGUUUUGGUUAGAUUAAUUUGUAUUAUGUUAGCCUAGGUUAGUGAGUGUCGCACCACCCUUGUAUUUUUGUUUGUAGAUUAUGAUAGUUUAGCUUGUGCGUCAUAUGCGCUGAAGAUUUCGGUUUUAUUUUCACAUUUUCUUUUGUUAGUUUAGAGGUUAGUCGUAAGGAUUGGCUUAUUCUGUUUAUUUUGUUUAUUUGGAUGACACUUCUGCAUCUUUUGUGUAAUGUUAUUUAAUACUACCUUUUUACACAAUUUUAGGUACAGUUACAACUGAGUACAGCUUUUAUUAAUUUAAAGUUCCACUUAAGAAGCACCUUGAAG